AAGAGCUCAAGUCUAAUUGGUACUGGCUUUCUUAAUUACUGUAAUUGAACACCAAGCUGACAGGUCAGUCUGAAUAGCACUGCAAUACAGCACAUACAUAAAACUCUACUUUUCUGGGCCUACCAUAAAGGUCUGUCCCUGUCAUUUGAGGAGUAUGACUUCUGAAUUACUGUGAAAAGGGCAGUGUGAACAAACAGUUCUGAGAGCUGGGCAGCGUGGUAACUGCUGCAGGGCUGUGGUGCUGUUGGCCAAAGACAGCUAGACAGAGCUGCCCCAAACAGACCUCGAGUCUGCUCUCUGAUUACACCUGCCUGAUCUAUAUGUGUUUAACCAGCCAUUCUGGAAAGUUGUAAACAGACUGUUUCUGCUCUCUGCAAAUCUGCUAAUAUAGCCAAGCUGUGUGUAAGUCCCAGACCAGCAUAUUUACAGGCAUUGGCAGUGUUUCAAUUAAAAACAAGUUUUUCUGAUGACUGAUUUCUAGCUUUUAACUUAAGUUCACUAUGGCAUCUGUGAUUUGAUAUUUAUCAUUUUAAAUAAAGAAAAAUAAAGUUAUUGUUCGGGUAAUUUUUAAGAGUAAGGUGAAAAAUGUAAAUAUAAAAUGUAAUGUAACAUCUGGAACGUUUGUUGCAAGGAGUUCCUUUAAAAGUUAUGUUGGCAAAGUUAUGAGCUGGAUAAGCCUCUUAGUGUUAUCUGCUGUUCUGUUGUGCUGUUGAACGUCAUUGUCAGUUUCUGUUGAUUUCAUAAAGGAAUUCAGAACCAGAAACAUGGCAGAGAAGCUCUGCAUAAGAUAGGCUUUUGCUGUCUUUUUGUUUCCAUUAGAGUUUCUUGAAGAUUGUUCUUAUUAAGUUGUAACACUUUAACAUCUAUUCCAUUAUACUGACUCCAGUAGAUGUAGUAGCAAAAGUUUGUCUUUCUACUUUGGAUAAUAUUUUUUACAUUGUGUACUAUUUUCUUUAUGCUUAUUCAGUACAUUAGUUUUGCUUUUACUUAUUUUUUUAAAAUAUUGAGCAUGAUAUCAGAACUGUGCUGCUACUUUAUGAUUAUUUUGUACUGUUCAUUGUAAAUUUGGGUGUUUUUUUUGGUUUGCAUUCACUCAUAGCCUCUGUAGCUUCUUCAGAAAUGAAAGAAGAAAAUUAAUUAUUUUUUUUCCAGCUCCAGUAACUUUGCUGUAUAGGAAUAUGUGAAAAUUAAUAACUUGUUUUAAGAUGGGAUGGUUUAUACACAGUAUAGAACAGUGCAUAUGAAGUAUCUCUUGAUUAAAUGUGACCUGAAAGAUUCUUUAAUGAACCUUGUGUAUGAGCAUUCAAUGGGACAAUAAAUAUCAAUCUGCAGUUUCAUUAAACAAGCUGUAUACAUUUGAGAUUCUGUAUUUGAAAAACAUUUUAAAGAAAAUC
rnacentral:lncRNA from 1 species